GCCGCCGCGUCCAGGGCCACCAAGGCCAGCGGCGCUCCGGCCAAGAAGGCGGCCGGCGACGGCGACGGCGACGGCGGGUUCAGCUUUGGCGGGCUCUUCUCCAAGAAAGAGUAGACGCCGAACUCAUAUCUGCUACUGUCUGAAGAAGAAAGCUCCAUGACUUGAUUCUGAUAAUCUGAUUUAAGGGCUCGCAAACAUACAUACCACUUUGUUGAUUCUG
rnacentral:misc_RNA from 1 species